GGGGGCGAACCGGCUUCGACGGGGAUAAUUGAAGCUUUGGUUGCAUACCGAGGUUCUACCUGCUCGUAAAACAGGUGGGCAUUAACACAAACGCAGACGAUUAUGCGUAUGCCCUAGCCGCAUAAAUAGGCUAGUGCUCUUUCGGUCUUUGCCUGCGCGACCGUAUAGAGCAUCGACUAGCGGGCUAGCUGAUCCGCUUUACCUGUGAGACGGGGAUGCGAAACUGAAACAGGUUAGUCCCAUGGCAAUUUUGCUUGGUUGAGACCCUUGGGGCGAAAAUAUUAAAUCGGGCUAAGUAUGUAGACGCCAAAACGGAAUGUUUUCGGACGGGGGUUCGACUCCCCCCGCCUCCACCA
rnacentral:tmRNA from 1 species